rnacentral:hammerhead_ribozyme from 1 species
AUCCGGCUGACGAGUCCUAAAAUAAAACGAAAUGCACGUACUGGAU